GACGAACGCUGGCGGCGUGCUUAACACAUGCAAGUCGAACGGAAAGGCCCUGCUUGCAGGGUGCUCGAGUGGCGAACGGGCGAGUAACACGUGGGUGAUCUGCCCCUUACUUUGGGAUAAGCCUGGGAAACUGGGUCUAAUACUGGAUAGGACCAUGCUGUAGGUGGUGUGGUGGAAAGAUUAGUUUCGGUAAGGGAUGAGCUCGCGGCCUAUCAGCUUGUUGGUGGGGUAAUGGCCUACCAAGGCGUCGACGGGUAGCCGGCCUGAGAGGGUGGACGGCCACAUUGGGACUGGGAUACGGCCCAGACGCCUACGGGAGGCAGCAGUGGGGAAUAUUGCACAAUGGGCGCAAGCCUGAUGCAGCGACGCCGCGUGGGGGAUGACGGCCUUCGGGUUGUAAACUCCUUUCAGCCAUGACGAAGCCCUUGUGGUGACGGUAGUGGUAGAAGAAGCACCGGCUAACUACGUG
rnacentral:rRNA from 1 species